rnacentral:rRNA from 1 species
GGUCUCCGUAGGUGAACCUGCGGAGGGAUCAUUACACAAAUAUGAAGGCGGGCUGGAACCUCUCGGGGUUACAGCCUUGCUGAAUUAUUCACCCUUGUCUUUUGCGUACUUCUUGUUUCCUUGGUGGGUUCGCCCACCACUAGGACAAACAUAAACCUUUUGUAAUUGCAAUCAGCGUCAGUAACAAAUUAAUAAUUACAACUUUCAACAACGGAUCUCUUGGUUCUGGCAUCGAUGAAGAACGCAGCGAAAUGCGAUAAGUAGUGUGAAUUGCAGAAUUCAGUGAAUCAUCGAAUCUUUGAACGCACAUUGCGCCCUUUGGUAUUCCAAAGGGCAUGCCUGUUCGAGCGUCAUUUGUACCCUCAAGCUUUGCUUGGUGUUGGGCGUCUUGUCUCUAGCUUUGCUGGAGACUCGCCUUAAAGUAAUUGGCAGCCGGCCUACUGGUUUCGGAGCGCAGCACAAGUCGCACUCUCUAUCAGCAAAGGUCUAGCAUCCAUUAAGCCUUUUUUCAACUUUUGACCUCGGAUCAGGUAGGGGAUACCCGCUGAACUUAA